rnacentral:tRNA from 3 species
GGAGGAGUACCCAAGUGGCUGAAGGGGACGGUUUGCUAAAUCGUUAGGUUGGAGAAAUCUGGCGCGGGAGUUCGAAUCUCCCCUCCUCCGCCA